UUCCCAUCCAAUCGGCUCCAAUGAAUCAAGGUGGGAGGAGGUAAAGCAAUUGGAACAGGCAAUUUUUAAGGCUGCGCUGAGCAUAAGGGGAAUAAGUGGAGACGUGCCCCAGACAGAACGAGUGGAGCUGGGACCUGAGCAGCAUCACAGCAAGCAGCCGUGUGAGCCAGUAUCCUGUCUGCUGGUGUAGCCAGGAGGAGAUGCGGAAGGAGGAAACUCAAGGAGGAGUUUUAUGCUUCCUUAUACUUCUUGGUUUGAGACAGAACCAGAAGUCCAAACAGCGAAGUGUUUGCAAAAGUCCUGAUGGUCGGGAGAUCGCUGAACUCCUUCAAACCAAGAGAGAUGAAAAGCUUACAAGAAAAGUUGCUCUCCAGAGGCUUUCAGCCCAGUUACGAGGAACCGAGGCAGGCUGAAUACACUCAGGAUGAUGAAUGGAGGGAGGAAACAUUCAGGAAACACAGGUGCCACAGGACCUCAGUGCCUUGUCUAUAAAAUGGAGAGCAUUCCUGUGCCCCUGUCUUGUCACACUGGUAUGCAGCUUAGUGCAUCCAUCCACCGCGGAGCAGCUGAGGGAUCAAGCCACCAAAUGCCACCAAGGCAGAGAAACACUCACACCAUCAUCGUUUGGGCUUCACACACCUGGGCUGAAGGUGAAAUGAAGGAAUUUGGUGUCAGGCUCUCUACUCCGGUCGCCAAUAGCCUCUUUCAGCAGGGAUUUGAGGACAAAGCAAACGGAAAGGAUAAAGAAGAAAUUAGAUGUUUUUUUUUUCCUGUUCCUACCUUAGACACACUGCGGGAUAAUGGCUUACACAGCAAGGGAUCAGCUUUGUGUGUGUGCGUGAGCUGGAGUCCAUCAGCACCAUGGCUGCUCAGGAGAGGUUAA
rnacentral:lncRNA from 1 species